GACGAACGCUGGCGGCGCGCUUAACACAUGCAAGUCGAGCGGAAAGGCCACUUCGGUGGUACUCGAGCGGCGAACGGGCGAGUAACACGUGAGUAAUCUGCCCCUGGCUUCGGGCUAGCCACCGGAAACGGUGAUUAACACUGAAUAUGACAGGGACUAGCAUGGGUGGGUGUGGAAAGUUGUUUCGGCCAGGGAUGUGCUCGCGGCCUAUCAGAUUGAUGGUGAGGUAAUGGCUCACCAUGGCUUCGACGGGUAGCCGGCCUGAGAGGGUGACCGGCCACACUGGGACUGAGACACGGCCCAGACUCCUACGGGAGGCAGCAGUGGGGAAUAUUGGACAAUGGGCGGAAGCCUGAUCCAGCAACGCCGCGUGAGGGAUGACGGCCUUCGGGUUGUAAACCUCUUUCAGUACCGACGAAGCGCAAGUGACGGUAGGUACAGAAGAAGCACCGGCCAACUACGUGCCAGCAGCCGCAGUAAUAC
rnacentral:rRNA from 1 species